rnacentral:snRNA from 1 species
GUGCUUGCUUUGGCAGAACUUAUACUAAAAUUGGAGCAACUCAGACAAUAUUAGCAUGGCCCAUGCACACACAUAACAUACAAAUUCAUGACAUAUUUUGCAUCUUU